CUGUGAUUAGCAAGUUCGAGCUUGGCAAAUAAGGGCGCCCUGGCCCGAAGACAGUGAAUAUCUAUCACACCAACUUAUCAUCCCAGGAUUGUUCAGUAUCUUACAACAACAGAACAGAAAUGGUCCUUGGGCUUCGUAUGCUACCUGCUUCUCUGAGUUCCUCUGCAAGAUUACUUGUUGCUCCAGAUUCCAACACUUUGUCUUUUGUCUCCAUUCAACCAGAACACACAGGCACUUGGUUUGUGCCCCUUCCUGCCCUUACCCUAUAGGGUAGGUCACUGGAUGAACAGAUCCUGCAUCUUCUGAAAUAUUCCCGAAAACACCAGCCAUUGACACUAUCACAUUGAUGCAAUGAAGAAGAUGGCAUGCCAGUAGCUCUAUUUCAUUAUGACUCGAGGAAAUUUCAUAUGUUACCCAAGACUCUUGCCAAUUUCUAUACACUUAUGGUGGAGAACAUUCUGACUGGUUACACCACUGCCUGAUAUGGAAACUCCAACGCACAGGAUCGCAGAGGGUUGGAGCCUUCUCACGGGCACACCCCUCUUCACCACUGAAGACAUCUUGGUGCUUCAAGAAGGUGGCAGGAGAUACUGGUGCCUGAGGACACACACUCAACAAGGGUC